AGAACUAACUUCUGUACCUUUUGCAUAAUGAAUUAACUAGAAAUAGUUUCGCAAAGAGAACUAAAGCCAAACCCCCCGAAAUCAGACGAGCUACCCAAAAACAGCUAAAAGAGCGCACCCGUCUAUGUAGCAAAAUAGUGGGAAGAUUUAUGGGUAGAGGUGACAAGCCUACCGAGCCUGAUGAUAGCUGGUUAUCCAAGAUAGAAUCUUAGUUCAACCUUGAGCUUACCUACAGAACCACUUAAUCCUUUUGUAAGCUCAAUUGCUAGUCUAAAGAGGGACAGCUCUUUAGACACUAGGAAAAAACCUUACAUAGAGAGUAAAAAGCAUAACCACCAUAGUUGGCCCAAAAGCAGCCAUCAAUUAAGAAAGCGUUCAAGCUCAACAUCAACCAUCCGAAAAAUACCAAACAUAAAACUGAACUCCUCAUCUCACAUUGGAUCAAUCUAUCAUUUCAUAGAAGCAAUAAUGUUAGU
rnacentral:ncRNA from 1 species